rnacentral:rRNA from 1 species
UAUUGGACAAUGUGCGCAAGCCUGAUCCAGCCAUGCCGCGUGAGUGAUGAAGGCCCUAGGGUUGUAAAGCUCUUUUGUACGGGAAGAUAAUGACGGUACCGUAAGAAUAAGCCCCGGCUAACUUCGUGCCAGCAGCCGCGGUAAUACGAAGGGGGCUAGCGUUGCUCGGAAUCACUGGGCGUAAAGGGUGCGUAGGCGGGUUUUUAAGUCAGAGGUGAAAUCCUGGAGCUCAACUCCAGAACUGCCUUUGAUACUGAAAGUCUUGAGUAUGGGAGAGGUGAGUGGAACUGCGAGUGUAGAGGUGAAAUUCGUAGAUAUUCGCAAGAACACCAGUGGCGAAGGCGGCUCACUGGCCCAUAACUGACGCUGAGGCACGAAAGCGUGGGGAGCAAACAGG